CGCCAGACUCCUACGGGAGGCAGCAGUGAGGAAUAUUGGUCAAUGGGCGCGAGCCUGAACCAGCCAAGUCGCGUGAGGGAUGAAGGAUCUAUGGUUCGUAAACCUCUUUUAUAAGGGAAUAAAGUGCGGGACGCGUCCCGCUUCGCAUGUACCUUAUGAAUAAGGAUCGGCUAACUCCGUGCCAGCAGCCGCGGUAAUACGGAGGAUCCGAGCGUUAUCCGGAUUUAUUGGGUUUAAAGGGUGCGUAGGCGGCCUUUUAAGUCAGCGGUGAAAGUCUGUGGCUCAACCAUAGAAUUGCCGUUGAAACUGGCGUUCUUGAGUGAGCGAGAAGUAUGCGGAAUGCGUGGUGUAGCGGUGAAAUGCAUAGAUAUCACGCAGAACUCCGAUUGCGAAGGCAGCAUACCGGCGCUCAACUGACGCUCAUGCACGAAAGCGUGGGUAUCGAACAGGAUUAGAUACCCCAGUA
rnacentral:rRNA from 1 species